ACGGGUGAGUAACGCGUGGGAAUCUACCCAUCUCUACGGAAUAACGCAUGGAAACGUGUGCUAAUACCGUAUACGUCCUUCGGGAGAAAGAUUUAUCGGAGAUGGAUGAGCCCGCGUUGGAUUAGCUAGUUGGUGGGGUAAGGGCCCACCAAGGCGACGAUCCAUAGCUGGUCUGAGAGGAUGAUCAGCCACACUGGGACUGAGACACGGCCCAGACUCCUACGGGAGGCAGCAGUGGGGAAUAUUGGACAAUGGGCGCAAGCCUGAUCCAGCCAUGCCGCGUGAGUGAUGAAGGCCCUAGGGUUGUAAAGCUCUUUCACCGGUGAAGAUAAUGACGGUAACCGGAGAAGAAGCCCCGGCUAACUUCGUGCCAGCAGCCGCGGUAAUACGAAGGGGGCUAGCGUUGUUCGGAUUUACUGGGCGUAAAGCGCACGUAGGCGGACUAUUAAGUCAGGGGUGAAAUCCCGGGGCUCAACCCCGGAACUGCCUUUGAUACUGGUAGUCUUGAGUUCGAGAGAGGUGAGUGGAAUUCCGUGUGUAGAGGUGAAAUUCGUAGA
rnacentral:rRNA from 1 species